rnacentral:rRNA from 1 species
GUCCACGCUGUAAACGAUGAAUACUAGGUGUUGGGGGCGAAGCCCUCAGUGCCGCAGUUAACACAUUAAGUAUUCCGCCUGGGGAGUACGAUCGCAAGAUUAAAACUCAAAGGAAUUGACGGGGGCCCCGCACAAGCAGCGGAGCAUGUGGUUUAAUUCGAAGCAACGCGAAGAACCUUACCAAGGCUUGACAUCUACAGAAUCCUAAAGAGAUUUGGGAGUGCCUUUCGGGGAACUGUAAGACAGGUGGUGCAUGGUUGUCGU